rnacentral:lncRNA from 1 species
AAAUUCUGCCUUUCCUCUUUUUCUAUUUAUCUGAUUAUUAUUAUUAUUAUUAUUAUUUUCUUUGAGACAGAGUCUCACUCUGUUGCCCAGGCUGGAGUGCAAUGGCGCAAUCUCGGCUCACUGCAACCUCCGCCUCCCAGGUUCAAGCGAUUCUCCUGCCUCAGCUUCCCGAGUAGCUGGGAUUACAGGUGCCCACCACCACGCCCAGCUAAUUUUUGUAUUUUUAGCAGAGACGGGGUUUCGCCAUGUUGGCCAGGCUGGUUUCGAACUCCUGACCUCAGGUGAUCCGCCUGCCUCAGCCUCCCAAACUGCUGGGAUUAUAGGCAUGAGCCACCUCGCCAGCCCUAUUUAUCUGAUUAUUUAAGUAAAACUUUAAUAAACCAUGACCUACAUUUUCUAUGCAAUUUUAAGAUACUCAGAGUUAAUAUUUUAAUAUUGAGGUUCUUGAUUUUUUUAAUGAUCAGCUUUCAAAUUAUAUUUCAGUAUAUACUCUGAGUCUACGUGUAUGCUACAAAAGGUGAAAUGAAGUUAGCUUAUUUUUCAGUGAGUUUAGGCUAUAUUAAGAGUUAGGUAAGUUAGGUAAGGGUGAAACUGCUUUGGGGCCCAGACUGCGCUGGAAUGUACUGUUUAAAUUCAAAGGUAAUUGAUGGCCAGUGUUCAGUUGCUCUAUUUGUAACGUUUGCAUGUUGGUCUGGCUGAAGUAUCAGGAAAACACAAAAUUCAUGAAAAUAGCACCUUUUAUAAUUUUAUACUUUUAUAAAGCACUUGUUAAAGAAGUAUAGCAAAUUUCUAUGUAUUUUAACAUACAAGUCGCUGCAUUUUAAUGUUCAUUUUUGGUAUAGCUAUGGUAACUUAUAAUAGUCAUUUUUAUAUUCAUAACUUGUUUUCUGAAAGAUAUAGUCAUUAUUAAAAUAAACAUUCAUGUAAAUGGAGUAAAUCAUAGGGGAAUCAAUCGUAAUAAAUACCUUAUAAAUUAUAAACUUGUUUAGAUACUAGAUUUCUAUAACCAUAAAUUUUAUACUGUAAAGUCUGUUUAAAAUAGGGUUUAAUGAAGUUAUUUUAAUUUUUAGAGACUCCCCUCUAAAUAAUUUACUCCUACAUUGUAAAUACAUUGAUGCCAACAAAAUUCCAACUGCUACUAACAAAGGUUUGGUUGGUGAUAAGCUAAUAACAGCUACUUUGUGUAGGAGGUAAAUAUGUGUACUGGAGGGGGUAAAAAUCCAUUUAGGUUAUGGCAAAGAUGGGAAUCAAACUGUAAAACUCAUAGCCCCAUAAAAUUAAUAUUCUUUGUUAAGUGCCAGAGGGUUUAAGAGAACUUCUUGCUUAGAGUUUAUUGAUAAUAAUAAUGCUUCAGAAUAUCCCAUUUAAAUGUACAGUGUAAAUAUGUAAAAUAUUUUACUUCCCAGGCAAGUUUGUGGCUGUAUUGCCACUUAGUGGCUCUUUGUGACUGGCAGUUCUGUAUAUCUGAAACAAAUAAGCUGUAAGCACUUUUGUUAAAACUUUGUCAAAUAAUCCUUUUAUGUACUUGUUCUCAGACCUGUUCUCUGGUUAUGAAAUGUGUUAAAGACAAGGUGCAAAUUUAAAACAAUGCCUGUAUUGAAAUAAAUGACUUAAACAGA